rnacentral:rRNA from 4 species
UCUGGUGGUUCAAGCGAGGGGGUCACACCUGAUCCCAUCCCGAACUCAGAAGUUAAGCCCUUCUGCACCGAUGAUACUUGGGUAUUAAGCCCUGGGAAAGUAGGUCACCGCCAGAA